UACGAAGGGGGCUAGCGUUGCUCGGAAUCACUGGGCGUAAAGGGUGCGUAGGCGGGUCUUUAAGUCAGAGGUGAAAUCCUGGAGCUCAACUCCAGAACUGCCUUUGAUACUGAGGAUCUUGAGUUCGGGAGAGGUGAGUGGAACUGCGAGUGUAGAGGUGAAAUUCGUAGAUAUUCGCAAGAACACCAGUGGCGAAGGCGGCUCACUGGCCCGAUACUGACGCUGAGGCACGAAAGCGUGGGGAGCAAACAG
rnacentral:rRNA from 1 species